AGAGUCUGAAAGAUCUAGAAAGCUUUCUGUGUGGGUUAUCGUGUAUAGUUGCUCUAUAGGAGUCCAGAACUCAAUACAAAGGCCCGAAAAUUUGUAUAAAAGCUCUCCUUUAACCAAAUGAUUCCACAUAGGAGAUUAAGAAAAGAGAGGGCAAGAAUUUUGGCUGUGGCAGUUUGUGGAAGAAUUGCUGCAAUGUCUGUUCUGAGGAGCGUGUGGGUGGAUGUCGGAGCCAGGAGUGGUGGGACAUUACCAUGAGCUGGGAGUUUUUUAAAAUCAUUUCUGGACGACUUGGACAACUUCUGGAAGAAGCAGUUUUGCCUACAUUGUUCUGCAUUAGAGUUGAGCGUGUGCCAUACAAUUCUCUGCCGAUACACCAGGGACAGUGUUUUUUCAUUCUUCCAUCACAUGUUCUGACACACUGACAGAUCCCACCCUGUGAUCCACCCCAGUGGCAUCGCGCAUCACGGUUGCGUAAUUCCUGAAUGCGUAGAGCCGCGGGAGCUGAUUGUACACUGACCCCUUGUCGACGCUUUGGAGCGGGGCGGACCACCGGAACAGCACCCGCUGCUGCUGACUGCAAAAUAACCCACAAUGGAGCCCAAGAACAUUGCAAGUGUCAGCAGUUGGAGAAAAAAGGUAAGAAACACUAUUGAACUGAAGAAGUCACUCAUAGCACAACACUAAGGUGGUGUUUGUGUGUUGUGGAUCACGCUGCCUUAUAGCCGUCAACAAUCAAGUCUUCAAUCAAGGUAAAAGUGACAUUAAAUGUUCGUUUAUCCCUUUCAUUCAUCAUGUAUAUGCAUUCAUGUGCAUUUCAAAUUGUUUUCUGCAUGUACAACUAUAAUUGUAUGGCAAUAUGAAAGUGUUUUAUGUUAACAUUUUUGGAUUUGCAUUGUUUGUUAUGAGAAAUAUUGAUUCGGCUAGAGUAUGUUUUUGUUUGAGUCAGACCUUCAUACACCAUACAAAUGAUGCUAACUGAGGUUCCACGGUAGAAUUGUAUUAA